rnacentral:rRNA from 1 species
AUGGUGGAGGUGGUGGCCACCAUGGCCAUCCGGCCACUGGUGUCCAAGCUGAUGAACAAGGCGUCCAGCUCCCUCCUGGACCAGUACAACGUGAUGGAGGGUAUGGAGAAGCAGCACAAAAUUCUCAAGCGCAAGCUUCCGGCCAUACUUGACGUCAUCAUCGACGCUGAGGAGCAGGCUUCGGCUCACAGAGAAGGGGCCAAAGCCUGGCUCCAGGAGCUCAAGACAGUGGCCUAUGAGGCAAACCAAGUCUUUGAUGAAUUCAAGUACGAAGCACUCCGCCGUCAAGCCAAGAAGAAGGGGCACCACACCAAGCAUGGCUUCGAUAGAUUAUUCCCUAGUCACAACCGUAUUGUGUUCCGCUACAAAAUGGGCCGUAAGCUUUCUAUGAUUCUGCAGGAGAUCAGCGUCCUCAUUGCAGAGAUGCAUGACUUUGGGUUGAGGCAGACACUCCCGGUAUCCAGUCAGUUGAGGCAGAAGCUCAUGUCCAAGCAGUGGAGGAAGACAGACUAUGUUAUCAUCGACCCACAAGAAAUUGCCAGCAGAUCCAGAGACAAAGUUAAGAAGAAUAUUGUCGAUGCACUACUUGGUGAAGCUAGCAAUGCAGACCUCACAGUAGUUCCCAUCGUUGGAACGGGGGGCCUUGGCAAGACCACAUUAGCGCAGCUUGUAUACAAUGAACCAGAAAUUCAGAAGCAUUUCCAGUUGCUGCUUUGGGUCUGUGUCUCUGAUAACUCUGAUGUGAACUCCCUGGCCAAGAGUAUAGUUGAAGCAUCUCCCAAGAAGAAUGUUGAUACAGACAAACCACCACUGGAUAGACUUCAAGAAUUGGUCAGCAGGCAGCGGUAUCUCCUUGUAUUGGAUGAUGUCUGGAACAGAGAAGACCAUAAGUGGGAAAAGUUGAAGGUCUGUCUUCAGCAUGGUGGCACCGGUAGUGCAGUGUUGACAACAGCUCGUGAUAAACGAGUUGCUGAAGUUAUGGGUGCAGAUAGAGCCUACAAUGUCAAUGCUCUGGAUGAUUACUUAAAGGAACUUAUUGAGGCUAAAGCAUUCGGUUGGGAGAAAGAAAAGCCUGAUGAGCUAGUCAAGAUGGUUGAUGAGAUAGUGAAGAGUUGUUGUGGCUCUCCCUUAGCUGCAGCUGCAUUGGGCUCUGUACUUCGUAACAAGACCAGCGUGGAAGAAUGGAAGGAUGUAUUAUCUAGAAGCAGCAUAUGCACGGAAGAAACUGGAAUUUUGCCAAUACUAAUGCUUAGCUACAAUGACUUGCCAUCACACAUGAAGCAGUGCUUUGCUUUUUGUGUUGUAUUUCCCAGGAAUUACAGGAUUGAUGUGGAGAAGCUGAUCCAACUAUGGAUUGCAAAUGGCUUUAUCCCAGAAUACAAGGAAUAUACUCUUGAAAUCACUGGACAACAUAUUUUUAAUGAGCUUGCCUCAAGGUCAUUCUUUCUGGACAUAGAGGAACAUAAAACAGUCUGGGAGAAUUAUUCCAGAAUCACAUGUAAAAUCCAUGAUCUUCUGCUUGAUAUCGCGUUGUCUGCUAUGGAAAAGCAACCUGCUGAUGUAACUGAGGAACCAAGUCAAAUUGAGUGUCUUCCAGCCUUUCCAGAUACUGCCCGGCAUUUAUUUUUGGCGCGUGAAGAAACAGAUGGUAUAUUUCUCUCUCAUGAAGAAACAAAAGGUAUUUCAAAUGAAUUUGUGGAGAAAAGAUCCGCUGUCAUCCGAACACUCAUAUGCGAUAGUUUUAUGGGACGCUCAUUGCAGCAUAUGACAAAAUACAGCUCUUUGCAUGCCUUGAAGCUCCAUAUAGGGAGAGAAUCAUUUUUGCCGAAGCGAAAGUAUCUGCGUUACCUGAGGUACCUUGAUCUCUCAGGAAGUUUUAUCAUAGCACUUCCUGAAGACAUAAGUAUUCUGUAUAACUUGCAAAUGUUGGACCUUUCCAAUUGCCGUUUUCUUGAUCGCCUUCCGAGACAAAUGAAAUAUAUGACUUCACUCCGUCACCUCUACACUCAUGGCUGUCCGGAGUUGAAGAGCAUGCCUCCAGAACUCGGAAAACUCACGAAGCUGCAAACGCUUACAUGUUUUGUAGCAGCAGUUGCCGGACCUGAUUGCAGUGAUGUUGCGGAGCUGCAGCAUUUAAACCUUGGUGGUCGGCUAGAGCUGUGUCAGCUAGAGAAUGUUACAUCAGGAGAGGCAAGAGUGGCAAGUCUUGGAAAUAAAAAGGAUCUCAGAGAACUGACAUUCAGAUGGACUUCUCUUUGUGACAGCAUGGUGCUCAACUAUUUUGAACCUCAUUGCGGCCUGCAGGUUCUGAGGAUAUAUUCCUAUGGAGGAGAGUGCAUUGGUAUGUUGCAAAACAUGGUUGAGAUCCAUCUUUUUCAUUGUGCAAAAUUGCAAUUUUUGGUCAGAUGCAGUACAUUCUCUACUUUUCCAAAACUGAAGCAGCUUACGCUAGAACAUCUAUUGGAUUUGGAUAGAUGA